rnacentral:rRNA from 1 species
GUGCCAGCAGCCGCGGUAAUUCCAUGCUCCAAUAGCGUAUAUUAAAAUUGUUGUGGUUAAAAAGCUCGUAGUUGAACCUUGGGCCUGGCUGGCCGGUCCGCCUCACCGCGUGCACUGGUCCGGCCGGGCCUUUCCCUCUGUGGAACCCCAUACCCUUCACUGGGCGUGGCGGGGAAACAGGACAUUUACUUUGAAAAAAUUAGAGUGCUCCAGGCAGGCCUAUGCUCGAAUACAUUAGCAUGGAAUAAUAAAAUAGGACGCGCGGUUCUAUUUUGUUGGUUUAUAGGACCGCCGUAAUGAUUAAUAGGGACAGUCGGGGGCAUCAGUAUUCAACUGUCAGAGGUGAAAUUCUUGGAUCAGUUGAAGACUAACUACUGCGAAAGCAUUUGCCAAGGAUGUUUUCAUUAAUCAGGAACGAAAGUUAGGGGAUCGAAGACGAUCAGAUACCGUCGUAGUCUUAACCAUAAACUAUGCCGACUAGGGAUCGGACGGUGUUAUUCAUGACCCGUUCGGCACCUUACGAGAAAUCAAAGUGCUUGGGCUCCAGGGGGAGUAUGGUCGCAAGGCUGAAACUUAAAGAAAUUGACGGAAGGGCACCACCAGGGUGGAGCCUGCGGCUUAAUUUGACUCAACACGGGGAAACUCACCAGGUCCAGACACAAUAAGGAUUGACAGAUUGAGAGCUCUUUCUUGAUUUUGUGGGUGGUGUGCAUGGCCGUUCUUAGUUGGUGGGGUGACUUGUCUGCUUAAUUGCGAUAACGAACGAGACCUUAACCUGCU